rnacentral:tRNA from 1 species
GGAGAGAUGCGAGAGCGGUUGAAUCGGGCUCCCUGCUAAGGAGUUGUAUCAGCAAUGGUACCGAGGGUUCGAAUCCCUCUCUCUCCG